rnacentral:rRNA from 1 species
CUUGACAUCCAGCGAACUUGGCAGAGAUGCCUUGGUGCCUUCGGGAACGCUGAGACAGGUGCUGCAUGGCUGUCGUCAGCUCGUGUUGUGAAAUGUUGGGUUAAGUCCGCAACGAGCGCAACCCUUAUCCUUUGUUGCCAGCGAUUCGGUCGGGAACUCAAAGGAGACUGCCGGUGAUAAACCGGAGGAAGGUGGGGAUGACGUCAAGUCAUCAUGGCCCUUACGAGUAGGGCUACACACGUGCUACAAUGGCGCAUACAAAGAGAAGCGACCUCGCGAGAGCAAGCGGACCUCAUAAAGUGCGUCGUAGUCCGGAUCGGAGUCUGCAACUCGACUCCGUGAAGUCGGAAUCGCUAGUAAUCGUGGAUCAGAAUGCCACGGUGAAUACGUUCCCGGGCCUUGUACACACCGCCCGUCACACCAUGGGAGUGGGUUGCAAAAGAAGUAGGUAGCUUAACCUUCGGGAGGGCGCUUACCACUUUGUGAUUCAUGACUGGGGUGAAGUCGUAACAAGGUAAGCGUAGACGU